rnacentral:rRNA from 1 species
UACGUAGGGGGCAAGCGUUGUCCGGAUUCAUUGGGCGUAAAGAGCGUGUAGGCGGCCAGGUAGGUCGGUUGUGAAAACUGGAGGCUCAACCUUCAGAGGUCGACCGAAACCAUCUGGCUAGAGUCCGGGAGAGGAGAGUGGAAUUCCUGGUGUAGCGGUGAAAUGCGCAGAUAUCAGGAGGAACACCGGUGGCGAAGGCGGAUCUCUGGGCCUGUCCUGACGCUGAGGCGCGAAAGCUAGGGGAGCGAACAGG